rnacentral:rRNA from 1 species
UGCGUGAAGUCGGAAUCGCUAGUAAUCGCGGAUCAGCAUGCCGCGGUGAAUACGUUCCCGGGCCUUGUACACACCGCCCGUCACACCAUGAGAGUCGGGAACACCCGAAGUCCGUAGCCUAACAGCAAUGAGGGCGCGGCCGAAGGUGGGUUCGAUAAUUGGGGUGAAGUCGUAACAAGGUACC